CGCGACUCCGCGCACGUCUGCCACAACUAGGAGCUUGAUCGUCACGUAGAGUGGUAGGCUCAGUCCGUCGAGGAUGUCUUAUUGAUACUUGGACAAUUCAUGAAUAUUUUGGUGAUUCGGUGAUAAAUAUUAAGUUCAUCUGUAUCCCAGUUUUAAUGAAAUUAAAUUUUGGAGACUGAGCGAGAUUGAGUUUAAACAGAAGAAACACAGUUUCAGCAACAGCAACGUAAACAAUCCGGUCAAGAUUACUGUGGUUUAAACAAGGAAGAACAACUCAUCAUUUCAUUAAAUGAGAAACAUCGACGCGCCUUCCAGUUUCUCAGACAUCGAUGCAGAAGACAUCGAUCAUAUCCAGCCCUGUGAUGAGUUGUCCCCUCUAGUAACACCGAGGGGCCUGCCGUAUGGACGGUCAGGCCAGGAAACCUGGUCGUGUGCAUGGGCCCCAGACAACUCGUUCUUUGCCUGGUCCUGUGGCUCCCGCACUGUACAACUUGUUCCCUGGGACAAAAACACAGGACAUCUGACUUCUGAAGCUAAGGAAUACAACAGUUGUGCUGAAAGAAGACAGAGAUUAGUGAAUCAAAUAAGCGAGGAACACCUGACGACCCUACGACUGAUUGAGGAUCUGGUAAAACAGGACAGAAAUGAAGGCAGCAACAAGCAACAAGUUAAAGGACGAAGAGUUCCCCGAUCCAUUGACUGUGGAGGACACAUCUCUGCCGUGGCUUUUGGUACAGGAACGUCAAAGCAUGACUAUCAAUCUGUGUGGAAGAGAUUCAAGUUUGAUGAUGUCCUGAUACUUGCCACAGGGUUACUGAGCGGAAAAAUAAAAACCUGGGACUGCAACACAGGUAAUCUGCUGAUGGAACUAAGUGACCACAGAGACAGUAUCAAGGAGAUCAACUUUGCCCCAGACAGAAGCUUGUUAUUUGUUUCUGCUUCUCGCGACGGGACACUGAAGGUUUGGGAUCUCAAUGAUGAUGGAAAUAUGACAAAAACUUUACGAGGGAAAGCAUCAGUGGCCAACUCCUGUAAAUGGUCGCCAAACUGCAAGAUGAUCGCCAGCGUCGGCAACAAUAAGUCUGUGGCAUUGUUUGACAUGAGUCAUGAGAAUAAGUUUACGCAACUGAAGGGUCAUUAUAACGAUGUGUGUUCCUGUGACUUCUCCCCGGACGGGGCCCUUCUAGCCACCGCUUCCUAUGACACCCGGGUUAUUUUGUGGGACCCUUACACGGGUGACGCCAUAGCUGAGUUGGGACACAUGUUCCCAGAGCCACGCCCAAUAUUUGCUGGAGGUGCCAACGACCAUUACCUGAGGGACGUCAGCUUCUGUAACAACGGCUUACAACUGGUCACUGUCUGUGAUGAUGGCUACAUGCGAGUGUGGGACCUACAGGACACCAGUAACCCGAUGAAUGUCGCCAAUCACAGCAAUGCCCUGUGCUGUUCAGUCUCCCCGAAUGGACACACCAUCGCUGUAGGAAGUGAUCUUUAUGGAAAAGUCAAAUAGACUGUACAUGAUGUACAGAGGACGUGUCUUUGCAGUUCACAAUCGACUCGCAGGCUGCGCGGAAAGCCAAAACUUUCCAGCACAGCCUCAUGAAUAUGCAAAGUGAACAGUCAUGUGACUAGUUAAUUGUGUGAGUGACAGGGACGGAGGUGUAGCGUUCUACAGGACCCCCAACAAAGUGGCCAGUCUACAGCACCAGACACGUCGCACCAUCCGCACACUUGUACCAUCCAAUAUCAUCGACCAUCUCCAUCUGCCACUCCGCAUCAAGGAGUACCUCAAGUACCAUGCCAUCUAGGACUAUGUUGUGACUAAGAGUACGAUAUCUUUUAGGACUGGUACCAAGGGAACUACACCAUCUAAGACGAAGCCGUGUUCCAGGAGAACUUUACUGUCUAGGAUCAGUUACUGCACCAGGGCAUGCACCAUCUUCAGCAUUUCUACAGUGGCAGACUUCAUAAUUUAUCAGUGAAGAACUUCUUUAUCUGUAGAACUUUCUAUCACGCCACAGCCAUUCCACAAGUUCAACU
rnacentral:misc_RNA from 1 species